AUUGAACGCUGGCGGCAGGCCUAACACAUGCAAGUCGAACGGUAACAGGAAGCAGCUUGCUGCUUUGCUGACGAGUCGCGGGCGGGUGAGUAAUGUCUGUGACACUGCCUGAUGGAUGGGGUUAACUACUGGAAACGGUAGCUAAUACCGCAUAACGUUGGAAGAUCAAAGAUGGGGAGCUUCGGGCCUCUUGCCUUCGGCUGUGCCCAGAUGGGAUUAGCUAGUAGGUAGGGUAACGGCUCACCUAGGCCACGAUCCCUAGCUGGUCUGAGAGGAUGACCAGCCACACUGGAACUGAGACACGGUCCAGACUCCUACGGGAGGCAGCAGUGGGGAAUAUUGCACAAUGGGCGCAAGCCUGAUGCAGCCAUGCCGCGUGUAUGAAGAAGGCCUUCGGAUUGUAAAGUACUUUCAGCGGGGAGGAAGGGAGGUAAGUUAAUACCUUGACGUAUUGACGUUACCCACAGAAGAAGCACCGGCUAACUCCGUG
rnacentral:rRNA from 1 species